rnacentral:rRNA from 1 species
UACGUAGGUGGCGAGCGUUGUCCGGAUUUACUGGGCGUAAAGGGCGUGCAGGCGGUUUGUUAAGUGCAGGGUGAAAGCUCCCGGCUCAACUGGGAGAGGUCCUUGCAUACUGGCGAACUCGAGGGAGGCAGAGGAAAGUGGAAUUCCCGGUGUAGUGGUGAAAUGCGUAGAUAUCCGGAGGAACACCAGUGGCGAAAGCGGCCACCUGGACUGCACCUGACGCUGACACGCGAAAGCUAGGGGAGCGAACGGG